rnacentral:rRNA from 1 species
UACGAAGGGGGCUAGCGUUGCUCGGAAUCACUGGGCGUAAAGGGUGCGUAGGCGGGUCUUUAAGUCAGGGGUGAAAUCCUGGAGCUCAACUCCAGAACUGCCUUUGAUACUGAGGAUCUUGAGUACGGGAGAGGUGAGUGGAACUGCGAGUGUAGAGGUGAAAUUCGUAGAUAUUCGGAAGAACACCAGUGGCGAAGGCGACUUACUGGACGAUUGUUGACGCUGAGGCGCGAAAGCGUGGGGAGCAAACAGGG